rnacentral:lncRNA from 12 species
GCGCGGAGGCGGCGCGGGCGCGCGCGGUGCUGCCGGGGCCGGAGGAGGCUGCUGCUCGCCCGCUCGCCCGCUCGCCCGCCCGCCGCUCCGCGCUUCUCCCUCCGCCUCCCCGGCCCCGCGCACCUACGAGCUCCGGGCCGCGGGCCGAGCUGCCCCGGGCGCUGUCCGGGCCUGCAGAGGGGAUGCCGGCGGGGACCUCGGGCUCGCGCCGGCGUUGCGCAGCAAAGAAAGGCGAGGCGCGGCGUCGGGGCUGCGCGCCCUGGAGCUCCGGGACGCGGCACUUGGGAACCCCCGCGGCGAGCUCCCGCCAUCUCCGCGCGGCCGGAGCGCGCAGCCCGGGGCUGGCCUCGGGUGGAAAGUGCGGGGAAUGGGGCGAGGGGCUCCGGACCCCCUAACGUGGAUUACUUGGUGUGCAUCAGCCGGGCUCAGACGACCCCCACCCCCGCGACCUCGUCUGCGUCCUGGGCUUGCUUCCUUCCACCUGGCAGUCGGGGCGCAUACCUGGCAGGGGACUUGUCUGCCAGUUUGCCAUUGUGCACUCAGGAAUCUGCUCCAUUCUGAAGUGAACUGCCCAGAGGUAUUAGUCAAGAAGCUGGAGGAGGCUGGGGAGUGGGGAGAGCCAUAACACAAAGACAACAUCAUGGCUGGAUCCUCGACUUGCGAAAAAGGCUAAACCUCCAGAAGAGUGCAAAGAGAAUGGUAGGUCAUUAAGUUUCUAUGAUGUUUCUGCGUUGCGCUUUGAGCAUGUUUGUGUUUCUUAAAGGAGGGUCUCACCGACAGGAGCAAUCAUGUAGUUGAGACAA